ACCCUGCCCACUCUCUUGGUCUUCCCGCAUGGAAGCCACCUCCCCUUCUCCACCUGUGCUCUGCCCUCUCAGCUCUCACAGCUCUCAUGCUAGUACCGCAGCAGAGGCGGCAGGGGUGUGAACUAUGGAGAGGACACUGCAGGCUGUUCCAUCACCGGCAAGGGCAUUUCCACGUAGGCCAGUGAGUCACCGUGCUCGGCUGCAUACCCGCCGUGCUCCCGUCCUCUCUGUCUUUUACUCUCUCCACCCACAGCUCCCAGAACAACCUGCUACUCAACCCCCAGGAAUCUGGUCUGGGCUGUUGUGUUCCGCCUCCCAAGGUUCCAGGUGUCCCAGAAACCCAGCAAACCGAUGCUCGGGACUCCCAGAGAAGAAGGCGUCUAGGAGGACUGACCUCCUGGAACUCGGCCUGAUCAGCAUCCACUCUUGCUGGUCCCCGGCCCUGUUACCCUCUUAGGAGCCCCGCUGGCACCCUCUGAGAAACUCAGGGCACCGCAGCUGGGGUGUGGCAGCAAGGACUGGAGUCAGAGCCAGGAGCAUCUUCAGCGGCUGAAUCCUGUAGAGAAGGAACUUGGCAGGUUCCAGGACCAGAACCAGAGAAGGAGACUGACUCCUGACAGCGUAUAACCAUCGGCACGUCACAAACAUCUGCACGUGUGGGAUUUAUCUUGAGUCUCUCAAUGCUCCCAACGAAGAGCUCCUUGAGGGCAGGGAGGACUGAAACUUCUGCCUGGGAUUGUCAUCAUCACCUCGCACCCCAAACAGUAGAUGCCCAAUAAAUGAUCCUGACAAGGGCAAACGGAUAAACAAAUGAGUGGUUUGGAGUUUCCCUCCUAGAGAGCUUCAAAGGAGAACAGACAACUAUCUCCUCUGUCUAGUCCAAAGACAUUAUUCGCCUGCCCAAAGGCUGAGGGCUGUGCCCGAUGCAUUCUCUAAAUAACUCAGCUUCUAUAAUUAGGUUAUACCAUGAUGCUCUUCGAGGUUCUUUUCUCUCAUUGGCUAUGCACUUAUUUAUCGACUACCUGCCAUGUCCAAGGUACUGAGCUAUUGUUCUCUAAAUCCAUCAUCCUAUUCUAUUCUUUGAUUCUAUGACUCCAUGUUGACAUAAGAUGCAGUAGGGUCCCCACCACAUUCACUCCUAAGUGAGGUCAGCCCAGGCUGAUGGGAAGGAUCAGCACUGUCUCAUGGGAAUGGAUAACCUGGCACAAAGGGUUCCCCUGUAUUAAUGUUCCAUGCCAUCCAGUCCCACUCAGCCUCCUCCAGCUCAUAAAUACAGCAUUUUAGGUGCCAGUACCUGCUGCCCCUUUAUAUGUAUUAAAAUCUCUGGAGUUCCUGUUGCGGCUCAGUGGAUUAAGAACCCAACUGGUAUCCACAAGGAUGUGGGU